rnacentral:tRNA from 4 species
GUGCCUGUAGCUCAACGGAUAGAGCGUGUGGCUUCGGACCACAAGGUUGCGGGUUCAAGUCCUGCCAGGCACA